AGUGUGGCCUUGGCUCCCGCGGUGCAUCCCUGAUCAGACAACCCUCCAAGGCUUCACUGGGAGAAUAAUGCGAGGCCUUUACUCCUACCUGGAUCCGCGGAGAGAGGGCGAGGCUGGCAAGGCCUCCCCACGUUUGCGACAAGAGGUGGUGGGCGUCUUCUCACCUGCGCCUAAUUGUCCGCACCUUAGGGAAAUCAGGGCUACGUGGAGUUACACAAGAGCGAGCAGCGAUGGAAAUAAUGACUGUCUCCUGUGCAGUGAAGGGCGAAGGCGGUGUGUGUCCCUAACCCCACUCCUUGACUGGUUCCAAUCGGGCUCCAGUGAUUAGGGGAAAUAUUCGUGAAGAACUCAAGUCCCGCUGGCCACAGAGAAGGGGAUGAAGAUAAGAACAAAGAAAUAUGUGGGGGAAAAAAAUGAAAGAAGCGGUAGAAAUACAAAUAAUUUCUUCCUAAUGCGAAGGGAGGCAUUAUAUAGAGAGUGUAAACUUUUUGAGAAAGAAGAAAUCUCAUUAUACCUUAAGAUCAGAGGAAAGAAUAAAGAAGAAAGACAAAAGAAAAAAGAAAAUUAAAGAACUGGAAUCAAAGAGAGAGAAGGGGCGGACUUUCUUCCUUCUUAUCUUGCUUCUCUUCAACUGCCUCCUCCUCCUCCUCCUCCUCCUCCUCCUCCUCCUCCUC